GACGAACGCUGGCGGCGUGCUUAACACAUGCAAGUCGAACGGAAAGGCCCUGCUUUUGUGGGGUGCUCGAGUGGCGAACGGGUGAGUAACACGUGAGUAACCUGCCCUUGACUUUGGGAUAACUUCAGGAAACUGGGGCUAAUACCGGAUAGGAGCUCCUGCUGCAUGGUGGGGGUUGGAAAGUUUCGGCGGUUGGGGAUGGACUCGCGGCUUAUCAGCUUGUUGGUGGGGUAGUGGCUUACCAAGGCUUUGACGGGUAGCCGGCCUGAGAGGGUGACCGGCCACAUUGGGACUGAGAUACGGCCCAGACUCCUACGGGAGGCAGCAGUGGGGAAUAUUGCACAAUGGGCGGGAGCCUGAUGCAGCAACGCCGCGUGCGGGAGGACGGCCUUCGGGUUGUAAACCGCUUUCGCCUGUGACGAAGCGUGAGUGACGGUAAUGGGUAAAGAAGCACCGGCUAACUACGUGC
rnacentral:rRNA from 1 species